rnacentral:rRNA from 1 species
UACGAAGGGGACUAGCGUUGUUCGGAAUCACUGGGCGUAAAGCGCACGUAGGCGGAUGUGUCAGUCAGGGGUGAAAUCCCGGGGCUCAACCUCGGAACUGCCUUUGAUACAGCACGUCUCGAGUCCGGAAGAGGUGGGUGGAAUUCCUAGUGUAGAGGUGAAAUUCGUAGAUAUUAGGAAGAACACCGGUGGCGAAGGCGGCAUCCUGGACCAUUACUGACGCUGAGGAGCGAAAGCCAGGGGAGCAAACGGG